GACGAACGCUGGCGGCGCGCUUAACACAUGCAAGUCGAGCGAAGCGGCGGACGGGUGAGUAACACGUGAGUAACCUGACUUAGACAUUGGGAUAGCCUCGGGAAACCGGGAUUAAUACCAAAUGGUCUAAGAUGGACUCGCGUCGCAUUCGCUGGUUGGUGAGGUACCGGGCCACGAAGGCGACGAUGGGUAGCCGGCCUGAGAGGGUGAGCGGCGACAUUGGAACUGGGAAACGGUCCAAACUCUACGGGAGGCAGCAGUGGGGAAUAGUGCACAAUGGAGGGAACUCUGAUGCAGCGACGCCGCGUGAACGAAGAAGGCUUUCGAGUCGUAAAGUUCUUUUAUAUGGGAAGCGGUACCAUAAGAAAAAGCCACGGCUAACUACGUGCCAGCAGCCGCGGUAAUUC
rnacentral:rRNA from 1 species